rnacentral:rRNA from 1 species
CCCUAGUGGCGGACGGGUGAGUAACGCGUGGGUAACCUGCCAUAUACAGGGGGAUAACACUUAGAAAUAGGUGCUAAUACCGCAUAAGCGCACAGGGGCGCAUGCCCCGGUGUGAAAAACUCCGGUGGUAUAUGAUGGACCCGCGUCUGAUUAGCCAGUUGGCAGGGUAACGGCCUACCAAAGCGACGAUCAGUAGCCGACCUGAGAGGGUGACCGGCCACAUUGGGACUGAGACACGGCCCAAACUCCUACGGAAGGCAGCAG